AAGCCUGGGAAACUGGGUCUAAUACCGGAUAUGACCGUCUGACGCAUGUCAGGUGGUGGAAAGCUUUUGUGGUUUUGGAUGGACUCGCGGCCUAUCAGCUUGUUGGUGGGGUAAUGGCCUACCAAGGCGACGACGGGUAGCCGGCCUGAGAGGGUGACCGGCCACACUGGGACUGAGACACGGCCCAGACUCCUACGGGAGGCAGCAGUGGGGAAUAUUGCACAAUGGGCGCAAGCCUGAUGCAGCGACGCCGCGUGAGGGAUGACGGCCUUCGGGUUGUAAACCUCUUUCAGUAGGGAAGAAGCGAAAGUGACGGUACCUGCAGAAGAAGCGCCGGCUAACUACGUGCCAGCAGCCGCGGUAAUACGUAGGGCGCAAGCGUUAUCCGGAAUUAUUGGGCGUAAAGAGCUCGUAGGCGGUUUGUCGCGUCUGCUGUGAAAGACCGGGGCUCAACUCCGGUUCUGCAGUGGGUACGGGCAGACUAGAGUGCAGUAGGGGAGACUGGAAUUCCUGGUGUAGCGGUGAAAUGCGCAGAUAUCAGGAGGAACAC
rnacentral:rRNA from 1 species